AACCUACGGGGCGCAGCAGUGAGGAAUAUUGGUCAAUGGCCGAGAGGCUGAACCAGCCAAGUCGCGUGAGGGAAGACGGCCCUACGGGUUGUAAACCUCUUUUGCCGGGGAGCAACGGGGUCCUUGCGAGGUCCCAAUGAGAGUACCCGGAGAAAAAGCAUCGGCUAACUCCGUGCCAGCAGCCGCGGUAAUACGGAGGAUGCGAGCGUUAUCCGGAUUUAUUGGGUUUA
rnacentral:rRNA from 1 species